rnacentral:rRNA from 1 species
AAACAUCGCCUCUUGUAAACAUAAGAGGUCCCGCCUGCCCAGUGACUUCAGUUCAACGGCCGCGGUAUCCUAACCGUGCAAAGGUAGCGUAAUCACUUGUCUUUUAAAUGAAGACUUGUAUGAAAGGCAUCACGAGGGUCAAACUGUCUCCUUUUUCCAAUCAGUGAAACUAAUCCCCCCGUGAAAAAGCGGGGAUAAUAAUAUAAGACGAGAAGACCCUAUGGAGCUUUAAACUUAACAGCACUUGCCCUCAGCCAAAAUUAACCACUUCCCCAAUCUUGCUGUGAGUUUUAGGUUGGGGUGACCGCGGAGAAAAAUAAAUCCUCCCCAAUGAAAUAGAGCCACUCUUAAGUGGAAAGUUACACCUUGACACAUCAGUACCCUGACAUCUAUUGACCCAAUACUUUGACCAACGAACCAAGUUACCCUAGGGAUAACAGCGCCAUCCAUUUUGAGAGUUCCUAUCGACAAAUGGGCUUACGACCUCGAUGUUGGAUCAGGGUACCCAAGUGGUGUAGCCGCUACUAAUGGUUCGUUUGUUCAACGAUUAAAACCCCACGUGAUC